UUCUGUGUACCCUGCGUUCCCCUAGAUUAGGCCAUAAAUUUCGGGGUCAGGAAGCUGUCUCCCCCUUGUUAAUGUUCCUCAAAAUUUCUAGCAGAGCAACAUGCAUGUGAAACCAAAACCAUCUCAGAAGAGUGCGUGCUGAGAAUGAAGAGCGGACAGACCACUGACAGGGGGAUGGGUACAGGCCCGGACCCGCCACUCUCCCUGAAGUGGCCUCUGGUAAAGCAAAAUGUGGAAGUCUCUGAUUGAUUUCCCAAGACUUUUGUUUAGUUCAGUUUUGUUUUGUAUCCAUGACAGUAGGGGCAGAAAGAAUUCUGAAGAGAAAAGAAGAGAGACUUCUCAAGUGCCUCCCAUGAGUUCCUGGAAAAGAUAGCCGGGGCCUCUUCUCCAGAGGGCCGAGCAGCAGCGGGCAGGGUCUGGCAGCAGAGCCCCAGAGGACAGCUGGGGGGGGCCAGCCCGGCUUGGUGGGUGACACCCAUCCCGCAGGCCCCCGGGGCUGCCAGUGCAGAGGAGCUCUUCCCCCUGCCGUGAGCAGUGGCAAGAACAAGAGUGUCUCCACUCAGUUCACUCUGCUAUUUUUAGGGGCUCAAAAAUCAGUUGGGAAGGUGGUGGGGCCAGGGCUCAAGGACUGGCCGGAGAAGCCUCCCGAGGGGUUACUGUCACUGUACUUCUCUGGGCCUCGGGUUCCUCAUCCGGGAACAGAACUCCUGCAUCGUUGACUUGGAAGGAAGAAACUAAAACACAGAAAGUGCCUGGGGUGUAUUGGUUGUUUGCACUCACCACAGGGUCCAGGUGCUCACAGCUGGUGAUGGCAGAGCUCAUGGCAACCAAGGUCAGCUCCUGUUGGCCUUGUCUCAGGAUGGAAACGAAGUGAACCUGCUCCAGUUGAAAGAGAUUAACGUCUCACUGCCUGCCAAAAUCUUGAGCUGGAAAGGAAAGCACUGAAGAUAUAGUCCGACCAGCCUGGCCUCUGAGAUACAAUAAUGAAGUCAUCAUGAAACAAAGGGCAUUACUGUUGAUCUGGAAGAAACUGCCAAGGUGCAUUGGCGGAGCAAAGCCCUCAGAAAAAGUUUGAGGACUCCUGCUCUGGAACACCGAUCUAAAAACUUGAUUUUUAAUCACUCCACUUUGAAAGUCUUUGGCAUAUCCUUUUUCAUCUUUAAUUGUAUAAUCAGCGAAACAGCCACGCCAUCAGGAAGAGGACAACAGCCGUGUCUGCUUCGUAUGCUUCACUGGCUUUCCAGAAGAGCUUUCCACCCGGACCUCCCCUACUGAGUGCAAGCCUGGAAGAGAAAUUUUCUUUCUGGGAAGUAGAACUCAAGAUUAUGAAAGCUGCAAAGAACUGUAGAAAAAAACGAAGCCCAGAGAAAGAGGGGAACUGCUUCAUCCACGUUCCUCAUCUCAGUGAAUGACAUCGCCAACCACCAAACACCCAACCCAGAGCUUGGUCUGCCAUAUGCAAUUCUUCCCAAGUUCUGUCAAAUCCUCCUCCUACAGAUGUUUUUUGCAAGUCCAUUCCCUCUAAUGCUAGCAAAUAUAUUAACUUCAUCUAAACCAACUUCAUUGCUCCUCUUUCAAUUCUAUGUCAGCAAUCCUAAGAUUUUAUGCAGAGCAGUCUGGAUAAACUUAAAAACAUAAAUCUGGUCAUGUCAUUCCCCUCUUUAAAAUUCUUCCUGAGUCCUGUGCCCUGAGGAUACAGGAAAACUAAGACCCUUAGCAUGGUCUGUGAUAUCCUUUAUGACUUGACUCCUUUGAGCUCCAUCACAGCCCCCAUCACACAGUGUCUGGCACACACAGUCGGUCCUCCAUUAACAAGAGUUGGGUUAAAUCAAAUGAUCCAAGCUUAUUCAGUCUGUCGCAGUCUUUAACUUGUGACUCUGAACCCUUGGGCCAGGUCCUUGUCCAGAAAGAGGUAGACUU